rnacentral:misc_RNA from 1 species
UUUCCGUAGGUGAACCUGCGGAAGGAUCAUUACACAAUAGGCGGGGGGUUCGCCCCCUGCCCCCGACUCGUCGGGUCACCCUGUCUCUUGAGUACCGAACGUUUCCUCGGUGGGCUCGCCCACCGAUUGGACAAAUUUAAACCCUUUGCAGUUGAAAUCAGCGUCUGAAAAAACUUAAUAGUUACAACUUUCAACAACGGAUCUCUUGGUUCUGGCAUCGAUGAAGAACGCAGC